CCAGAGGAGCAGCAGCAGCACACGCAAAGCUGCCUGGCCUGAAAGAUAGUAAAGGGUCACCUUGUAAAACACAGAUGCAAAUUCAGGAUGGCUAAUAGCAGGAGCCGAGAAGGCUGUGGAGGCAGAGGUGUUGCAGAUUCCACUGGAUGGGGAGUCCUGAUUGAACAUCGCGGCGGAGCUUCCCAGAAGGCACAGUGAUGGAGUGUGGGCGCCAGGCAGAAGGUCAAGGACGGAGAGAGUUCAGAUUUAUCAGCAAAUAAGUGAGGUGAAGAGAAUUACACUUAACUUGGACUGGCCAACAGUAGGCACUGCUAGACUGAAGGGUUGACAGAGUGAUGACGUCAGUACGAUCGGCUGCAGAGCCCUGUACAAUAACCACCUAAGUCCUUGAACGCCUGCGUAUGCUCAUGAGGAUGCUGUGAGCACCGCUCUCUUCUCAGCAUUGUGCUGGGGAGAGAAUGGAAAAGAGUCAGAGGAAAACAGCCAGUA